UACGUAGGAUGCAAGCGUUGUUCGGAAUUACUGGGCGUAAAGAGUACGUAGGCGGUUUGAUAAGUCUGCUAUUAAAGACUGGAGCUUAACUCCAGGACUGUAGUGGAAACUGUCAGACUAGAGGACAAUAGAGGAAGUCGGAAUUCUCAGUGUAGCGGUGAAAUGCGUAGAUAUUGGGAAGAACACCAGUGGCGAAAGCGGACUUCUGGGUUGUUACUGACGCUGAGGUACGAAAGCGUGGGGAGCAAGCGGG
rnacentral:rRNA from 1 species